AUUGAACGCUGGCGGCAGGCCUAACACAUGCAAGUCGAACGGAUCCUUCGGGAUUAGUGGCGGACGGGUGAGUAACACGUGGGAACGUGCCCUUUGGUUCGGAACAACUCAGGGAAACUUGAGCUAAUACCGGAUGUGCCCUUCGGGGGAAAGAUUUAUCGCCAUUGGAGCGGCCCGCGUCGGAUUAGCUAGUUGGUGGGGGAAAGGCCCACCAAGGCGACGAUCCGUAGCUGGUCUGAGAGGAUGAUCAGCCACAUUGGGGCUGAGACACGGCCCAAACUCCUACGGGAGGCAGCAGUGGGAAAUCUUGCGCAAUGGGCGAAAGCCUGACGCAGCCAUGCCGCGUGAAUGAUGAAGGUCUUAGGAUUGUAAAAUUCUUUCACCGGGGACGAUAAUGACGGUACCCGGAGAAGAAGCCCCGGCUAACUUCGUGCCAGCCGCCGCCGUAAGAC
rnacentral:rRNA from 1 species